rnacentral:piRNA from 1 species
UUCAAUUUCUCUUUUAUGAUUAGUAGUGCA